rnacentral:lncRNA from 1 species
GUUUUUUUCCUGGGUUUUGUUUCUUUUUGUAAUGUGAUCAACAUUUUCUAGGUUUGGGCUUCAUGGAAAGAGUUGUUACUAACUUGGGUUUAGAUGGGGAUCUUACAAAAAGUUCAAGUUAUGUGGCUUGUCUGAAUGUUUAUACUCCAAACUUGGGGGAAACUAGUGUGAAAGUGACUUAUAUUUGAAAACAUGUUGGGAAUCAUUCCCCACCAUAAGACUUCGUCGUAUUCUGUAGAGUGAGUACAUUUGUUCAGUGUAGCUCUUUGAACUUCCCUAGCUUUAGGGAUGUGAUUGAUUAUAGUCUAAACUGUUUUAGAAUACCUAAGUCUUCAAAGCACCUUCCUUGUUGCUUAGGACUUGAACUUUCUAUCAACUGUUGUUCCAGACCUCAAUUCAGGUUACCCUUGGUGUUUAACUAGCAUGCAUGAGAAAACAGCUACACUUGUAAUGCUUUCUGCUCUAUAACUGGAAAGUUUGGUUCAUUUUGCAUACGUGCCGCUGAAAGCUUCAGGACUGUGAGAAUUUCCUUUCUGUGCAUCAAGAAAAAAUGACUUGCUCUUUGUCAGGCAAGUCAGAUGGUGGGGUAGUUACUCCAAGCAAGCAACUUGUGAUUGCUGAUAGAUGAAAUCAGUAUGGUGACUUAACUUUUUAUACAAUACAGAUCAAACAGUGUGACAUGAGAAUCACUAACCUGCCUGAAACCCUCCUGGGGGAAUUGAAGUGUCAUAGUCUGUAUAAAUCGGUAGCAGGUGCCUGUUACCGUGGCUCAGCGAUUUUGAAUGUAAACGAAAGCUCAGACUUGCUUCUGAACAGAAACAGAUUGGAGAGAUUAUAUUUGAACAUAGACUUGGGAUGGGGUGAUUCCCCCCCCCCCCUCCUUGGUCUGCUUUAAGAUUAUUAGGCCUUUGUACAUGAGAUCUAGAAACUAUUGACUUAAGGUAGAGUACUGCUAGUUAAUUUGAAUGAAAGUGUAAGUUGUGAAUUUUAAUAGUAUAUUGGGUUUUUAAAACAUUCAAAAAAAAAGGCUGGGAAAUAAAUGGGUUCCAGUAAUACUAUAUGCUAAGGUGCUUGCAUUGUAUUUCAUAAAUCUUGUUGCAACCAAAAUUAUUUUUUUAAUGAAAACUAAGUUCAGAGGUGUGAUGCCAGAAUGUAUUAUCUACUAUCGUACUGUUAGGCCCUUGGAGCAGUUCCCGGUGCUUCCUGAAAGAUGAAAUGGGCACUCAGACAAGGCUGCCUGCAGCCUCCCAGCAAUGCAUACUCUGACUCUCCCUAAUGAAGAGAUGCGUGUGAUUAGUUUUGGUCUUUAACCUUAUUGGGGGUGCAUGUCUCCUAUUGUUAAUCAUUGUCAGCUGCAGUGACAUGAUCCACAGUCCUGCAUUUCCCGCUGCCUUUUGUGUUAAUGAUCUUGGACAGGUUUUAGAGCUAUGGGGUGUUUGUUUUGGGCUGUUUCUUGGUUUUGGCUUUAGCUGAUAAUGUCAGUGCUGUCUAGCUAGUGUAGUUCUUAAUGGCUCCCUACUAGGGAGAGAAUCUGGAGGAUUUAACUGCUCCUUUUAUCUGUCAUUGCUGCUAGAUAAUGAUUGGCAAUUUUUUAGACUCAAAUAUGGAAAUCUCAACAGUGAUUGGUAAACAACCAACCAUAGAAAUAAUGUUUUUGAACACCAGUGCUGGAGAAAAAAAUGAAGAUGAAAAGGGCCUGGACAUAAAAUAGGGAUAAUUGGAGAAGGGGGAAAGAAUGCAAAACAAUAUAGUAUCCCUUAUGGAUGGUCAAUGUGCAACAGAGAACUAUUGUAUACCUGUGGCAGUAAUGGUACCCGGGGUUGGGGUCGGGUGGAGAACAACCUGGAACUUGAAUUUAAGGAUGAGCUCUGCGUUUCUUGUGCACUGUGCCAGGUGUCUAUAGUGAAGGCUAAUGACUUACUUCUCCCUUAGAAGAAAGAAUCUUUUUCUUUUUUUUUUUGCUGUCCCAAUAAUGCAUAGUUGAGGAUGUGGAGAACAAAAAUUGAAGCAAAUACAUAGGAUUGCAGGGUAAAGAACUGCAGUGUUGUGUGCUUGCUGUAGGAAAAGGGUCGAAGCACUAAGAAUGAAAGUCACCAAAUUGACUGGGGAAGCAGGGAACUUGUAAGCUGAUAGCUGCUUUAGUCAGGUAAACGUUGUCACAUACCUUCACAUAAGGGAUAGUAUAUUAUGGGUUGCAGUCAAACUUCAUUGUGCUCAGACUGGUGAAAAUAGGAAUUGGGCUUUUGCAUUUUAAAGAAGGUACUAGGCUUUUGCAUUUUAAAGAAGAUAGUUUUCUUUCUAAUUCUCUCAUCUACUUAUUACCUACUUAAAGGAUAAUUUUAGAUCCCCCUGCAUAAAGUUUCUUCCUUUUUUUUUUUUUUUUUUUUUUUUGUUUUUUAAUGCUACAACUUAUUCCAGUCUGUAAUCUCUGGAAUUUUUUGCUCUUUAGAAUUUGGAAGUUAACUAGCAUUUUUCAAGCCUUUAUUAUAUACCCUUGUCUUUUAUACUAACGUUUAUUUAUUAUUCUUUAGGUAAGAAUGAUUGAUGUUGGCUGAUUUUGGAGUCUUAUUUACUUGAGGUAAGUGUCCUUAGAAAUAGGAUUAGGACCUGAUUUAUCUUUAAUGGCUAAAAUAACAGUGAGAUGAAAAACCUGGGGCUGGCGAGAUGGCUCAGCAGGUAAGAGCACUGACUGCUCUUCCAGAGGUCCUGAGUUCAAAUCCCAGCAACCACAUGGUGGCUCACAACCAUCCGUAAUGAUAUUUGACACCCUCUUCUGGUGUGUCUGAAGACAGCUACAGUGUAAUUAUGUAUAAUAAUAAAUAAAUCUUUUUUUUAAAAAAAAGAAAAAUCUGGGGUCCUUGAAAAUUUACAAAGAUACUAAAUCUAGUUUUUUAAAAAUAGUUAAAGAGCACUUCCCUUGCAUAUUGCUGUCUUGGUAUUGUGAUUUUCAGUACCAAGGGGAAAAGAUAAGACUAAAACAAGGAAUUGUCAAGUAAAAAAUUAAAAAAAUACAUGUUAUGUCUAGAGAAUGGACUUGAUUAAGAGCACUGGCUGCUCUUUCAGAGGACUGGGAGAUGAAAUAUGCUGUAAUUUCAGACUUGUAUUUGCAGGUUUUAAAAUUUUAUCCAUGUCAGAGGGUGGAUCUUCUAGUCACCUUGGUCUUUGCCACACAUAUCAAUUUCUGUUUUGUGUGUAAUAUAUUGUUAUAGUUAUAAUAGUUGUUCAGAGCCUGUGCCCAAAGUAGUAUUUUUUCUUAAUGAACUAAAAAAUAUAUGUUUAAUUAUAGGCGGAAUUAGAUGUUCUCAAGACAGCACACAACAUGGGUCAGCUAAAAAGGAAAGCCACAAAUUACUUAGACUGACAAAGACUCUAGGUAAGUGAAAUGAUAUUCAAAUUAAUUUGGUGACACAAUCGGGUGUCACCAAACUUGGUGUGUAUGUCAAUUUAAGAAUUGACGAAGGGCGUCAUGAAAGAUGUCAGGCAUACACAAGCCAAGAUAGCUGAGAUAUUCCUGAUCCAGCACUCUAACUUGAAGCUCAUGCUAUAAAGCUGUCACUAAUUACCAGUCCUUGAUUUAACAUGGUGGUAUUAGAGCUUAGUAAGCUACACUUGGAAGUUUUGAUAAGUUGGAUUAAUCAUAUUUUUUAAUUAACAGGAUCAAGUGAGCUGUAUCAGAAAAUGAGUCAAGACGAAAGAGGAAUGAAUUUGACAUUAAUAAAGUAAUUUAUUU